CCUACGGGUGGCAGCAGUCGAGAAUCAUUCACAAUGGGGGAAACCCUGAUGGUGCGACGCCGCGUGGGGGAAUGAAGGUCUUCGGAUUGUAAACCCCUGUCAUGUGGGAGCAAAUUAAAAAGAUAGUACCACAAGAGGAAGAGACGGCUAACUCUGUGCCAGCAGCCGCGGUAAUACAGAGGUCUCAAGCGUUGUUCGGAAUCACUGGGCGUAAAGCGUGCGUAGGCUGUUUCGUAAGUCGUGUGUGAAAGGCGCGGGCUCAACCCGCGGAUGGCACAUGAUACUGCGAGACUAGAGUAAGGGAGGGGGAACCGGAAUUCUCGGUGUAGCAGUGAAAUGCGUAGAUAUCGAGAGGAACACUCGUGGCGAAGGCGGGUUCCUGGACAUUAACUGACGCUGAGGCACGAAGGCCAGGGGAGCGAAAGGGAUUAGAUACCCGGGUAGUC
rnacentral:rRNA from 1 species